AGAGUUUGAUCCUGGCUCAGGAUGAACGCUGGCGGCAUGCCUAAUACAUGCAAGUCGAACGGACUAAUUAAUUAGUCAGUGGCGAACGGGUGAGUAACACGUAGAUAACCUGCCCUAAACUUUAGGAUAACUUUGGGAAACUGGAGGUAAUACUAAAUAGGAUAUAAUGAGGAAUCUUAUUAUAUUUAAAGAUUAAUCGGUUUAGGAGGGGUCUGCGGCGCAUUAGCUAGUUGGUGGGGUAAAAGCCUACCAAGGUAACGAUGCGUAGCCGGACUGAGAGGUUGACCGGCCACAUUGGGACUGAGAACGGCCCAAACUCCUACGGGAGGCAGCAGUAGGGAAUUUUCGGCAAUGGGGGGAACCCUGACCGAGCGAUGCCGCGUGAAUGACGAAGUUCUUCGGAAUGUAAAAUUCCUUUGUGUGGGAAGAAAAAGCAAUUAUUGACGGUACCACAAGAAUAAGCCCCGGCUAACUAUGUGCCAGCAGCCGCGGUAAUACAUAGGGGGCAAGCGUUAUCCGGAUUUACUGGGCGUAAAGGGUGCGUAGGUUGUUAUUUAAGUUUCUGGUAUAAGCACAAUGCUUAACGUUGUGAGGCUGGGAAAACUAGAUAGCUAGAGUAAGACAGAGGCAAGUGGAAUUCCAUGUGUAGCGGUAAAAUGCGUAAAUAUAUGGAGGAACACCAGUGGCGAAGGCGGCUUGCUGGGUCUUGACUGACGCUGAUGCACGAAAGCGUGGGGAGCAAACAGGAUUAGAUACCCUGGAAGUCCCCGCCGUAAACGAUGAGUACUAAGUGUUGGCCCAAAAAGGUCAGUGCUGAAGUUAACGCACUAAGUACUCCCCCUGAGUAGUACGUGGCCAAGCCUGAAACUCCAAGGGAAUGGACGGGACCCCCCCACAAGCCGGGGGAUUUUGUUU
rnacentral:rRNA from 1 species